GACGAAUGCUGGCUGCGUGCUUAACACAUGCAAGUCGAACGGUGAAAGGGAGCUUGCUCCCUGGAUCAGUGGCGAACGGGUGAGUAACACGUGGGCAACCUGCCCCUCACUCUGGGAUAACUCCGGGAAACCGGGGCUAAUACCGGAUACGACUGGUGCGACAUCGCACCGGGUGGAAAGAACUUCGGUGAGGGAUGGGCCCGCGGCCUAUCAGCUUGUUGGUGGGGUAACGGCCCACCAAGGCGACGACGGGUAGCCGGCCUGAGAGGGCGACCGGCCACACUGGGACUGAGACACGGCCCAGACUCCUACGGGAGGCAGCAGUGGGGAAUAUUGCGCAAUGGGCGAAAGCCUGACGCAGCGACGCAGCGUGAGGGACGAAGGCCUUCGGGUUGUAAACCUCUUUCAGCGGGGACGAAGCGAAAGUGACGGUACCCGCAGAAGAAGCACCGGCUAACUACGUGCCAGCCGCCGCCGUAAUAC
rnacentral:rRNA from 1 species